UACGGGGGGAGCAAGCGUUGUUCGGAUUUACUGGGCGUAGAGGGCGCGUAGGCGGCGGGGUAAGUCGGGUGUGAAAUCUCAGGGCUCAACCCUGAAACUGCACUUGAUACUGCUCUGCUUGAGGACUGGAGAGGAGACUGGAAUUCACGGUGUAGCGGUGAAAUGCGUAGAUAUCGUGAGGAAGACCAGUGGCGAAGGCGGGUCUCUGGACAGUUCCUGACGCUGAGGCGCGAAGGCCAGGGGAGCAAACGGG
rnacentral:rRNA from 1 species